GACGAACGCUGGCGGCGUGCUUAACACAUGCAAGUCGAGCGGUAAGGCCCUUUCGGGGGUACACGAGCGGCGAACGGGUGAGUAACACGUGGGUGACCUGCCCUCCACUCUGGGAUAAGCCCGGGAAACUGGGUCUAAUACAGGAGAGGACCAUUGGAUGCAUGUCUGGUGGGGGAAAGUUUUUUCGGUGGGGGAUGGGCCCGCGGCCUAUCAGCUUGUUGGUGGGGUGAUGGCCUACCAAGGCGGUGACGGGUAGCCGGCCUGAGAGGGCGACCGGCCACACUGGGACUGAGACACGGCCCAGACUCCUACGGGAGGCAGCAGUGGGGAAUAUUGCGCAAUGGGCGGAAGCCUGACGCAGCGACGCCGCGUGGGGGAUGACGGCCUUCGGGUUGUAAACCUCUUUCGCCAGGGACGAAGCUAACGUGACGGUACCUGGAGAAGGAGCACCGGCCAACUACGUGCCAGCCGCCGCCGUAA
rnacentral:rRNA from 1 species